rnacentral:rRNA from 1 species
UGAGGAAUAUUGGUCAAUGGACGGAAGUCUGAACCAGCCAAGUAGCGUGCAGGAUGACGGCCCUAUGGGUUGUAAACUGCUUUUGUAUGGGGAUAAAGUUAGGGACGUGUCCCUAUUUGCAGGUACCAUACGAAUAAGGACCGGCUAAUUCCGUGCCAGCAGCCGCGGUAAUACGGAAGGUCCAGGCGUUAUCCGGAUUUAUUGGGUUUAAAGGGAGCGUAGGCUGGAGAUUAAGUGUGUUGUAAAAUGUAGACGCUCAACGUCUGAAUUGCAGCGCAUACUGGUUUCCUUGAGUACGCACAACGUUGGCGGAAUUCGUCGUGUAGCGGUGAAAUGCUUAGAUAUGACGAAGAACUCCGAUUGCGAAGGCAGCUGACGGGAGCGCAACUGACGCUUAAGCUCGAAGGUGCGGGUAUCAAACAGGAUUAGAUACCCUGGUAGUCCGCACAGUAAACGAUGGAUGCCCGCUGUUGGUACCUGGUAUCAGCGGCUAAGCGAAAGCAUUAAGCAUCCCACCUGGGGAGUACGCCGGCAACGGUG